rnacentral:rRNA from 1 species
CCCCAGCGCCACAAGUGGGAAUCGGUAUUAUUGGGUCUAAAGCGUCCGUAGCAGGUCUAUUAAAUUGCUUGUGAAAUCGCACAGCUCAACUGUGCGGAAUGCAGGUAGGACUGGUAGACUAGAGACUGGGAGACGUUGGAGGUAUUCAAAGGGGAGCGGUAAAAUACGAGAAUCCUUUGAAGACCACCUGUUGCGAAGGCGUCCAACAAUAACAGGUCUGACUGUGAGGGGCGAAAGCUAGGGGAGCGAACCG